GUCUAGCCCAGCAUGGUGAGCGAUGUCUCUAAUCCCAAAUAGACUAAGAUUGGAGGAUCUCUUGAUCUCAGGAGUUCUGACCUAAAGUAAACUAAAGAUGACUGGGUGUCUGUACUAAGUUUAGCAUUAAUGUAGUGAGAACCCAAGGGCCAGGGGUUACCAGGUUAGAUAAGGGGGAUUGAACUGGUCCAGGUCAGAAACAGAGCAAGUCAAAGUCCCCAUGCUGAUUAGUAGUGAGUAGACCCCCUGCACUUCCAGCUCGGGUAAUAUAGGGAGGCUAAGACUAA
rnacentral:sRNA from 1 species